rnacentral:misc_RNA from 1 species
GGAUGAAGAACGUAGCGAAAUGCGAUACGUAGUGUGAAUUGCAGAAUUCAGUGAAUCAUCGAAUCUUUGAACGCACAUUGCACCUCUCGGUAUUCCGGGAGGUAUGCCUGUUCGAGCGUCAUUUGUACCCUCAAGCUCUGCUUGGUGUUGGGUGUUUGUUCCGCCUCUGUGUGUGAACUCGCCUCAAAACAAUUGGCAGCCGGCGUACUUGUUUCGGAGCGCAGCACAUUUUGCGAUCCAGAUCAACGUACAGCGGCAUCCAAGAAGCCUUAUUUAACGCUCUUGACCUCGGAUCAGGUAGGGAUACCCGCUGAACUUAAGCAUAUCAAUAAGCGGAGGA